rnacentral:lncRNA from 1 species
CAUCGGUUCGAUCGAGUCAGUGCUCAAAUUAUUGUUACUUGGAGUAGAGCUACAUGUACUUCAGUUUACAGGGUUAUUGUUAUUGGUGUCUUAAAUGAUACAAGUACAGUAAAUGGAACAUCAUUUUCUUAUACUCCAGAGUCUUCUGGCACCUACCCCUUUCAAAUAAACAGUAUUAAUUACCUUGGAGAUGAAAGUAGAGGCAUAGCUAGUAUACCCUUCCUUUGGCUAGGUAAACAAAAUUUUAUUAUAAAUUUUAUUAUUUUUUAGUUCCUUCAACAUUAGUCAACAUUAGUGGGUUAAUAUUUACAUUUAAGGAUGAUAACAAUGAUGAACGUCCUCCAGUUACUGGUUGUAAUAUCAUUUUGAAUGAUAUUAGCACAACCUGUCAAAUAAAUGAAACUUACAUAUUUCCUAUAAGAGACAGAGUUAAUUAUACUUACAAUGUUACAGUUCGUAAUGUUGUUGGGCCUGCAUCAAAAGUUGGUCUAGAAGACCUGAUAAGACCUACUACAGUCAUAGUGACACAUUUGCAAACAGUGACAGAAACAGUAACUACUGGUUUCUUUGAUGGUACUGGUAGCCCUGGUGUAUUUGCCAUCCUAUUCAUUGUACUUGCAGUAUUGAUUGCAUUGUUUAUUUGUUGGAUUGUGCUGAGGAUGUGUUGGAAGAGACAAAUUUGCUGUCCCAGGAUUUGGAGAAGUAACUUUUGGUUAACUUUCUUUUGCUAUGACUAUUGUACUAAUGAUGCUGGAGG